rnacentral:tRNA from 1 species
CCUUAAAAUCAAUGGCAUGAGUAAUGAUUGUCUAUGUCGAUCCAUCCCGAUCCAUAUAAAAUCUUUCGGCCUUCUAAGCCGUAGGUCACACGUUCGAAUCGUGUAGGGCGGGCCA